GACGAACGCUGGCGGCGUGCCUAACACAUGCAAGUCGAGCGAGGAACUUCGGUUCCUAGCGGCGGACGGGUGAGUAACACGUGGGUAACCUGCCUCAUAGAGGGGGAUAGCUUCCCGAAAGGGAGAUUAAUACCGCAUAAGAAGUAGAAGUCGCAUGGCUUCAGCUUUAAAGGAGUAAUUCGCUAUGAGAUGGACCCGCGGCGCAUUAGCUAGUUGGUGAGGUAACGGCUCACCAAGGCGACGAUGCGUAGCCGACCUGAGAGGGUGAUCGGCCACAUUGGGACUGAGACACGGCCCAAACUCCUACGGGAGGCAGCAGUGGGGAAUAUUGGACAAUGGGCGCAAGCCUGAUCCAGCCAUGCCGCGUGAGUGAUGAAGGCCUUAGGGUUGUAAAGCUCCUUCACCGGAGAAGAUAAUGACGGUAUCCGGAGAAGAAGCCCCGGCUAACUUCGUGCCAGCAGCCGCGGUAACAC
rnacentral:rRNA from 1 species